GCACCCCCAUUCAUUUCACGCCAACUUCUCCUUCUUAAUUCUCUCGGCUUCCUUUGUUUUUGCAGCAACGAAAUUGCAGAAAAUACACUCUCUUCCUCCCUCGGUAUGUUUUAGUUUACAGCAGAAAAACUAGGAAGCCAGCUCCCCAAAGCACAAACUCACCCCUCCUCCUUUCUCGGCUUGUAACAGAAUUAGCAAAGAAAAUUCUGUCUCUCUCUCUUUCUGUCUUUCUCAUUCGGCCAGUAGCAUAGAAAGCAGGAAUAAACGACUCGCUCUCUCUGGUUUUCUAUUUAUAUUUUCUGCAGAAUCACUCACUCUUCCUCGCUUUGUGUUUCGGUUGAAUAGCAGAAAAUUAAAAAAGGAACUCUCUGUUUUCUCUCCCAAAACAGCAGCUCUUUCACGGACAGCAACUCCUCUAUUCCUUUUCUGGUUUUGUCUCACGUAUAGUAGCAAGUGACGACCCUUUCCUUCUCUUCUUUGUUGCUGUUUUCUGCAGAAAUCUCUCUUUUAUUCCUCAGUUUGCAGAAAAAUCAGCAAGAAGAAAAACCCUUCUUUGCUCUCACUUUUCUCGGUCUGUAAUAGAAAAGAAAAGCAGCAAAGCUGCAGAAAAACAUUCCUUGUUUACCUUCCUACUAGAAGCCCGAAAAAAAAAAGAAGAAGAAGAAAAAGAACCCUCUCCUUUUACUUUAUUUCACGUCCAGCAAAGCAGCAAGCUCUCGGCUGCUCUCUCUCUGUUUUUUAAUCCAGCCCUCUUCUCUGUUUCCACUUGGUCCAGCAGCAAGCAAGUUUCCCCUUCCAUCCGUGUUUUACCCCCGCGGUACCAUGUCAUAGACGAUCCGGAUCAUAUAUGUGUUAUGUGUUAUGUGGGUAGCAUGACAACCACACGGAAGGACGAAAGUGUGGGCUAUCGGCCGGGUGGCCUUCACCUAGGGAAGUUCCCAACCCGGUACAGUUCUCCCUUGUGACAACAGGAUGAGCCCAUAAUUAUCUUUUGGGACGAGCCAAACGUGCGCCGAUCAUGGUUAAAAGCGGAAUUGGGCCAAGGGAGGUUAAAACUUACAAGCUAUAUAAAUGAUACAUGCAUUUGAUCUAAUUAUAUUUUAUUUAACUGUUUCUUUAUUUGUAGCUUUAUGGAUGGCAUAGGCCCCACCCCUAAGAGCAAUAUAUCAAUAAAGACUGGCCUAACUUUUGUAUUGUGCA